GGAGAUAUGGCGAAAUCGGUGGACGCUACAGACUUUGAGGGUUCAAGUCCCUUUAUCCCCA
rnacentral:tRNA from 1 species